GAUGAACGCUGGCGGCGUGCCUAAUACAUGCAAGUCGAGCGAACGGACGAGAAGCUUGCUUCUCUGAUGUUAGCGGCGGACGGGUGAGUAACACGUGGAUAACCUACCUAUAAGACUGGGAUAACUUCGGGAAACCGGAGCUAAUACCGGAUAAUAUUUUGAACCGCAGGGUUCAAAAGUGAAAGACGGUCUUGCUGUCACUUAUAGAUGGAUCCGCGCUGCAUUAGCUAGUUGGUAAGGUAACGGCUUACCAAGGCAACGAUGCAUAGCCGACCUGAGAGGGUGCUCGGCCACACUGGAACUGAGACACGGUCCAGACUCCUACGGGAGGCAGCAGUAGGGAAUCUUCCGCAAUGGGCGAAAGCCUGACCGAGCAACGCCGCGUGAGUGAUGAAGGUCUUCGGAUCCUAAAACUCUGUUAUUAGGGAAGAACAUAUGUGUAAGUAACUGUGCACAUCUUGACGGUACCUAAUCAGAAACCCACGGCUAACUACGUG
rnacentral:rRNA from 1 species